GGGGGUAUUCUGGUUUUGAUUGCUGAUGGAAGGCAAGGGAUCGUGAAGGCAGUCAUGCCUUGAAAUGACAGGACAAAUAAACGCUAAGGUUGUCAAUAUGGCUUCCCGCGCUCGGAUGCUCGCAGCAGCAUGAGGCGCCUCGCUGGUGACCGGCGAAGGAACAUAACGGUCACGACUCGGAUUUCCGGCUUAGAUGAAAGCCUGUGGUGGAAUGCUCGUCCAGCUAUCCUGGUCAGCCCCGACUCACGUAAUGAAGUUCCUAUAACAAGUCAGCAAGACGAGGGUCCGACUCCCUCUACCUCCACAC
rnacentral:tmRNA from 1 species